rnacentral:ncRNA from 1 species
GAUAACAGGCUGAUCUUCCCCAAGAGUCCACAUCGACGGGAAGGUUUGGCACCUCGAUGUCGGCUCUUCGCCACCUGGAGUUGUAGGUGGUUCCAAGGGUUGGGCUGUUCGCCCAUUAAUGCGGUACGUGAGCUGGGUUCAGAACGUCGUGAGACAGUUC